rnacentral:rRNA from 1 species
UACAGAGGUCUCAAGCGUUGUUCGGAUUCAUUGGGCGUAAAGGGUGCGUAGGCGGCGCGGUAAGUCGGGUGUGAAAUCUUGGAGCUUAACUCCGAAACUGCAUUCGAUACUGCCGUGCUUGAGGACUGGAGAGGAGACUGGAAUUUACGGUGUAGCGGUGAAAUGCGCAGAUAUCGGGAGGAACACCGGUGGCGAAGGCGGCAUCCUGGACCAACACUGACGCUGAGGAGCGAAAGCCAGGGGAGCAAACGGG